GUGUGUCAUUUUAUGACUGAUUGUGUGUGUGUUUGUGUGUUGACUGUGACUAUGUCAUUGUGCAAGCGCUCCAUAAUUACCUAUUGGCACAUCAUAAUGCAUGGAUAUUUCUGUAUAAUAAGGUCAUGGGCAUGUCAUUUUUUGACCUACAUACCUUGUAGUUGGUAGUACCAUUGCCCUUUGGACAUUCUUCAAUGCAUUGCUCUAUAUUUUCCUGCAUCAAGUAUGAUGAUUGUGCUUAGAAUGUGUAGAAUCCAGGGGUGGGUGGAGGUUUUCAUGAUGGCUAAUUUGUUUUGUUAUAUGGUUGUUCUGAUGGUGUGCUUCUGGUGUUUGAACUGAAGCCGUAGAUUUCCUAUCAACUUGGUCUGUGUUUGUAUGGUAAUCCCUCUCGAAUUUAACCCCUUCCAGUUUUGUACACAAUAUUUAUCUCACGGUUGGUAAUACAUUAUGCAUUUUAGCUAGUUAUAUAGUAACGCCAUACUUUUUUGGACGUUGUUCUGUAUAUGCAAGUGUGGUGAGCUCACAUAUUGUGUCAGUAUCUACCUUCGCAGCUGAAUUAUUUCCGGGUAGGACAGAGAUGCAGUGUUUACAUCCAUGGCAGAAGGUUUUUUAACAGUGCAUCAAAGGUCCUUGGACUCAAGAGGAAGAUGACAAAAUUAUUGACCUUGUAAACAACUAUGGACCACCAGAAUGAUCUCAUUGCAAGGUCAGCUACCAGAACUUCUUGCUGCUGAUCCUGGGAUGUUUCCGAACAUGCUCCCAAACAUGUUCAAUUUAUCCGCCCUAGGACAGGUUCACUCUGAUUUGCAGUUUAUUUGGUGAUGGCAGCAUGAACCCACCUGAUCCACUUGCUAUGCAGCAUAAAUAAUGAUGUUAUCGCCACUACCAUGACACAGUAGGCUACUCGGCAUGCUCGGCGUGUUUACCUCGGUGGACUUCCUCCAAUCGCUAAUGAACAUACGGUUGCUCUAUUCUUCAAUCAAGUUAUGGCCACUAUUGGGGGAGACACAUUUGAUCCAGGUGAUGCAGUUCUUAAUAUGAAGCUGAUUUUUGAAUUCAUACAAAACAUCUUAGGUGGCAUAAUCAUCUAACUCUGUGUGUGUGACU